CCUGAGGAUGGGUCGCCUGCCGCUAGCGUCCACUUUCCUCCCAUCAUGAUAUUCAUCGGCCAACCGGCGGCCUCCUCCACUGUACCAGGCUACUGAUCUCUUACCGAGUCCCUGGUCUCCGUUGGAGUGUGGUCGAGGAACUGUUCAAGUAAUAUCAAUUGUACAGCAUCCUCCAAGGUUGUUGCUUGACAGCCCUGCACCCAGUUGCUGGCUGCCUGGUGCAUCCGAAAUGCCUAUUCAGUAUAGAAAUCUCUGCUCCCCUUUCUUAAU